GAGCUGACGACAGCCAUGCACCACCUGUACACCGACCACAAGGGGGCGCCUGUCUCCAGACGUUUCCGGUGUAUGUCAAGCCUUGGUAAGGUUCUUCGCGUUGCGUCGAAUUAAGCCACAUGCUCCGCCGCUUGUGCGGGCCCCCGUCAAUUCCUUUGAGUUUUAGCCUUGCGGCCGUACUCCCCAGGCGGGGAACUUAAUGCGUUAGCUGCGGCACGGACGACGUGGAAUGUCGCCCACACCUAGUUCCCAACGUUUACGGCGUGGACUACCAGGGUAUCUAAUCCUGUUCGCUCCCCACGCUUUCGCUCCUCAGCGUCAGUAUCGGCCCAGAGAUCCGCCUUCGCCACCGGUGUUCCUCCUGAUAUCUGCGCAUUUCACCGCUACACCAGGAAUUCCGAUCUCCCCUACCGAACUCUAGCCUGCCCGUAUCGAAUGCAGACCCGGGGUUAAGCCCCGGGCUUUCACAUCCGACGUGACAAGCCGCCUACGAGCUCUUUACGCCCAAUAAUUCCGGACAACGCUCGCACCCUACGUAUUACCGCGGCUGCUGGCACGUAGUUAGCCGGUGCUUCUUCUGCAGGUACCGUCACUUGCGCUUCUUCCCUGCUGAAAGAGGUUUACAACCCGAANGCCGUCAUCCCUCACGCGGCGUCGCUGCAUCAGCUUGCGCCCAUUGUGCAAUAUUCCCCACUGCUGCCUCCCGUAGAGUCUGGGCCGUGUCUCANUCCCAGUG
rnacentral:rRNA from 1 species